rnacentral:tRNA from 1 species
GCCGAGGUCGCCUAGCCAGGUAGGGCGGCGGCCUGCUAAGCCGCUGGGGAUCCUCCCCACGCGGGUUCAAAUCCCGCCCUCGGCGCCA